UGGCUGACCCCCAUUCCUGGAAUACUUCUCGUGUUCAACAACACUUAGGUUCUCUGGCUAAAGUUCAACUUAAAUAUUACCAUCUUUACCAGGCCCACUUCAUUCUUUACCCCAUGCCUUUCCCUCUUAAAUUAUUUUCCACCUGCCCUGUGUUAGUCAAAUCAUUUUUAUAUUAUGCCUCUUCAAUUUGUUUACCACUUCAGUUGUUUUAAUAUGAGAUGCUUUCCUUUUUUGUUUAUUUUCUCAUUCUUUUGAACCUCCUUUAAUAAUUGUCUCCUGAAGUCAUUGACUUCUAUUUGUUUCAUUCUAAUUUGGGGAAGCUUAUUACCAGAGUAAAACUCUUCAUCUCAUGUCACUUCCUGUGAGGGGACUUCACUAUGGAAUUUGACUGUGAACCAGCUCUGGUAUGAGACCUCAGACUGCUUCCCUUGGACUGUCACAUGAUGCAGAGACCACUAAGGAGAGGUUCCUGUUCCCGAAAAGAGCUGAAGCUGGAACUUGAAGAGAGGCCAUCCCGCAGAAAGGGGAGCAGGGAGCUCUGCAGGAUGCAUCUGAGGAGCAGGAGCAGGAGCCCAGAGCUUCCAGAUCUUGCGGUCAUACUGGAGGAAAGAGUCUCCUGGCUGGUACAAGCCAGCAGGAUUUGACUGGCAUCAUUUCUGAAGUCAAGAAAUAAAUAUUGUCUCAGAGGAUUGGUGUGGAUUUCC
rnacentral:lncRNA from 1 species